rnacentral:rRNA from 1 species
GCCAUGCAAGUCUCAGUACAUGCCGCACUAAGGUGAAACCGCAAAAGGCUCAUUAAAUCAGUUAUGGUUCCUUGGAUCUUAAACAGUUACUUGGAUAACUGUGGUAAUUCUAGAGCUAAUACAUGCAAACAAGUCCCGACCAGAGAUGGGAGGGACGCUUUUAUUAGAUCAAAACCGAUCGGCGUCCGGCUCCGGCCGGCGCCGUCUCUUUUGGUGACUCUGGAUAACUUUUAGCCGAUCGCACGGUCACAGUACCGGCGACGCAUCUUUCAAAUGUCUGACUUAUCAACUGUCGAUGGUAGGCUCUGCGCCUACCAUGGUUGUAACGGGUAACGGGGAAUCAGGGUUCGAUUCCGGAGAGGGAGCCUGAGAAACGGCUACCACAUCCAAGGAAGGCAGCAGGCGCGCAAAUUACCCACUCCCGGCACGGGGAGGUAGUGACGAAAAAUAACGAUACGGGACUCAUCCGAGGCCCCGUAAUCGGAAUGAGUACACUUUAAAUACUUUAACGAGUACCAAUUGGAGGGCAAGUCUGGUGCCAGCAGCCGCGGUAAUUCCAGCUCCAAUAGCGUAUAUUAAAGUUGUUGCGGUUAAAAAGCUCGUAGUUGGAUCUGUGUGCCACGCUGUCGGUUCACCGCCUGUCGGUGUCAACUGGCAUGUCUGUGGGACGUCCUGCCGGUGGCGGUACGGGCUGCCGGCGCUGCGUAGGGGCUCGCCCCCGAAGCACGCCGGCGUGUCCCGGUCCGCCGAUCCAAUCCCGCCGCGGUGCUCUUCACUGAGUGUCGAGGUGGGCCGGCACGUUUACUUUGAACAAAUUAGAGUGCUCAAAUCAGGUCGU